CCUACGGGUGGCAGCAGUGGGGAAUAUUGGACAAUGGGGGCAACCCUGAUCCAGCCAUGCCGCGUGUGUGAAGAAGGCCCUCGGGUUGUAAAGCACUUUCAGUGAGGAAGAACGCCUGGUGGUGAAUACCCAUCAGGAAAGACAUCACUCACAGAAGAAGCACCGGCUAACUCCGUGCCAGCAGCCGCGGUAAUACGGAGGGUGCGAGCGUUAAUCGGAAUUACUGGGCGUAAAGCGCGCGUAGGUGGCUUGAUAAGCCGGUUGUGAAAGCCCCGGGCUCAACCUGGGAACGGCAUCCGGAACUGUCAAGCUAGAGUGCAGGAGAGGAAGGUAGAAUUCCCGGUGUAGCGGUGAAAUGCGUAGAGAUCGGGAGGAAUACCAGUGGCGAAGGCGGCCUUCUGGACUGACACUGACACUGAGGUGCGAAAGCGUGGGUAGCAAACAGGAUUAGAUACCCUGGUAGUC
rnacentral:rRNA from 1 species